rnacentral:lncRNA from 1 species
CUCUGCUCACUGCAACCUCUGCCUUCUGAGUUUAAGCGAUUCUCCUGCCUCAGCCUCCCAAAUACGUGGUUGCAGUAGGAUUGGAGUGUGGAAAGAUUUGCUUAUAUACCUGGAAAAAGACUGAUCAAGUUCCAGAAAUAAAUGACUGGACCCACUGUGUAGAAACAAGUCAAAGCCAAAGUCAUACACUGGCUAUCAGAAAAUUAUGCUGGAAGAAUUGCAGUGGAAAAACUGAACAGAAGGAAGCAGAAGGUGCUGAGUGGUUACACUUUGCAAGCUGUGGUGAAGAUCACACUGUGAAGAUACA